rnacentral:lncRNA from 1 species
ACAAGCAUUUCUGAGGAAAACUGUACAUGUUAGUUGGAAUCAGUCGGAUAUUUCUAUAAUCAAAAACAGUCCAUGUUGGUUUGAGGACGGUCAUGACUAGUACUGCAUCUGUACAACUGGAAAUACCAGUGCACCACAUUUUUCUCCCAUGAUGCUUCCAAAUCUCUCUAAACAGUUAGCUGAUAGCUGUGAUUGGCCAUUGAGAAGAGGGAGGAGUAAUGACUUCAAUGACCCCAGAAGAUUCCAGAGCAGAGAACAGCAGCAGUCUGGCUUUGUUCUUUGGUACCAAGUGCCCCCGUCAACCACUGCAGUAAGUACUCGUCUGCCUUUGGGCCCUAUUAGCCCACACAGUAAACCCCGCUGGAAAGUAGGGCUGAGCUGUGAGUGCUAUUGGUACUGUCUCCAUUCUAUGCUGGUUCUUUUAGACUUUGUGUUUCUAUGGGGUCUACUCGUUGGUUUCCACUUUGAUUUCUCCAAUAUUGAAGAUAUAUUAUAUUGGCUUCUCUCCAGCUCUCAGAAUGCUCUCUUCUUUAGUUCUAUUCCUAUGAUCACUUGCUGUCCACUUGGCCAGCUACCCAUAUUGUCAUGA